GACGAACUUUGGCGGCGUGCUUAACACAUGCAAGUCGAACGGAAAGGCCCUGCUUUUGUGGGGUGCUCGAGUGGCGAACGGGUGAGUAACACGUGAGUAACCUGCCCUUGACUUUGGGAUAACUUCAGGAAACUGGGGCUAAUACCGGAUAGGAGCUCCUGCUGCAUGGUGGGGGUUGGAAAGUUUCGGCGGUUGGGGAUGGACUCGCGGCUUAUCAGCUUGUUGGUGGGGUAGUGGCUUACCAAGGCUUUGACGGGUAGCCGGCCUGAGAGGGUGACCGGCCACAUUGGGACUGAGAUACGGCCCAGACUCCUACGGGAGGCAGCAGUGGGGAAUAUUGCACAAUGGGCGGAAGCCUGAUGCAGCAACGCCGCGUGCGGGAUGACGGCCUUCGGGUUGUAAACCGCUUUCGCCUGUGACGAAGCGUGAGUGACGGUAAUGGGUAAAGAAGCACCGGCUAACUACGUGCCAGCAGCCGCGGUGAUACGUAGGGUGCGAGCGUUGUCCGGAUUUAUUGGGCGUAAAGGGCUCGUAGGUGGUUGAUCGCGUCGGAAGUGUAAUCUUGGGGCUUAACCCUGAGCGUGCUUUCGAUACGGGUUGACUUGAGGAAGGUAGGGGAGAAUGGAAUUCCUGGUGGAGCGGUGGAAUGCGCAGAUAUCAGGAGGAACACCAGUGGCGAAGGCGGUUCUCUGGGCCUUUCCUGACGCUGAGGAGCGAAAGCGUGGGGAGCGAACAGGCUUAGAUACCCUGGUAGUCCACGCUGUAAACGGUGGGUACUAGGUGUGGGGUCCAUUCCACGGGUUCCGUGCCGUAGCUAACGCUUUAAGUACCCCGCCUGGGGAGUACGGCCGCAAGGCUAAAACUCAAAGGAAUUGGCGGGGCCCCGCACAAGCGGCGGAGCAUGCGGAUUAAUUCGAUGCAACGCGUAGAACCUUACCUGGGUUUGACAUGGAUCGGGAGUGCUCAGAGAUGGGUGUGCCUCUUUUGGGGUCGGUUCACAGGUGGUGCAUGCCUGUCGUCAGCUCGUGUCGUGAGAUGUUGGGUUAAGUCCCGCAACGAGCGCAACCCUUGUUCACUGUUGCCAGCACGUUAUGGUGGGGACUCAGUGGAGACCGCCGGGGUCAACUCGGAGGAAGGUGGGGAUGACGUCAAGUCAUCAUGCCCCUUAUGUCCAGGGCUUCACGCAUGCUACAAUGGCUGGUACAGAGAGUGGCGAGCCUGUGAGGGUGAGCGAAUCUCGGAAAGCCGGUCUCAGUUCGGAUUGGGGUCUGCAACUCGACCUCAUGAAGUCGGAGUCGCUAGUAACCGCAAAUCAGCAACGCUGCGGUGAAUACGUUCCCGGGGC
rnacentral:rRNA from 1 species